CCCUUAGAUGUUCUGGGCAGCACGCGCGCUACAAUGGUCUUCGCAAACGGAUGCAUUCUCGAAGGAGAAUGCCAAUCUUGGAAUCUAUGCCUUGGUCGGGACAGUUGCUUGCAAUUUUUCGACUCGAACCAGGAAUUCCUUGUAAUCGUGAUUCAUCACAUCACGAUGAAUACGUCCCUGCCCUUUGUACACACCGCCCGUCGCUCCUACCGAUCGAAGAGUUAGGUGAAUUGUUUUGAUCGAUAAGAUUUGACUAUGGUCAACUCUCGUUGUGAAAUUCUGUGAAUCUGACUGUUUUGAGGAAGGAAAAGUCGUAACA
rnacentral:rRNA from 1 species